rnacentral:rRNA from 1 species
GUGGGGAAUCUUCCGCAAUGGGCGAAAGCCUGACGGAGCAACGCCGCGUGAGUGAAGACGGCCUUCGGGUUGUAAAGCUCUGUUAUAUGGGACGAACGUAUCUAUGGCCAAUACCCAUAGAUAGUGACGGUACCGUAAGAGAAAGCCACGGCUAACUACGUGCCAGCAGCCGCGGUAAUACGUAGGUGGCAAGCGUUGUCCGGAAUUAUUGGGCGUAAAGGGCGCGCAGGCGGCCUGUCAAGUCUGUCUUAAAAGUGCGGGGCUCAACCCCGUGAUGGGACGGAAACUGGCAGGCUGGAGUGUCGGAGAGGAAAGCAGAAUUCCUAGUGUAGCGGUGAAAUGCGUAGAUAUUAGGAGGAAUACCAGUGGCGAAAGCGGCUUUCUGGACGACAACUGACGCUGAGGCGCGAAAGCCAGGGGAGCAAACGGGAUUAGAUACCCGGGUAGUCC